GGCUUAACACAUGCAAGUCGAGGGGUAACAGGGAGUGCUUGCACUCCGCUGACGACCGGCGCACGGGUGCGUAACGCGUAUGCAACCUACCUUCUACAGGGGGAUAGCCCAGAGAAAUUUGGAAUAAUACCCCAUACGAUCAUUAAUUGGCAUCGAUUGAUGAAGAAAACUCCGGUGGUAGAAGAUGGGCAUGCGUCCUAUUAGUUAGUUGGUGAGGUAACGGCUCACCAAGACGUCGAUAGGUAGGGGUCCUGAGAGGGAGAUCCCCCACACUGGUACUGAGACACGGACCAGACUCCUACGGGAGGCAGCAGUGAGGAAUAUUGGACAAUGGAGGCAACUCUGAUCCAGCCAUGCCGCGUGCAGGAAGACGGCCCUAUGGGUUGUAAACUGCUUUUAUACAGGAAGAAUUGUACCUACGUGUAGGUAUUUGACGGUACUGUACGAAUAA
rnacentral:rRNA from 1 species